AGCGAACGCUGGCGGCAGGCCUAACACAUGCAAGUCGAACGAAGUCUUCGGACUUAGUGGCGGACGGGUGAGUAACGCGUGGGAACGUGCCUUUAGGUUCGGAAUAACUCAGGGAAACUUGUGCUAAUACCGAAUGUGCCCUUCGGGGGAAAGAUUUAUCGCCUUUAGAGCGGCCCGCGUCUGAUUAGCUAGUCGGUGAGGUAAAGGCUCACAAAGGCUACGAUCAGUAGCUGGUCUGAGAGGAUGACCAGCCACAUUGGGACUGAGACACGGCCCAAACUCCUACGGGAGGCAGUAGUGGGGAAUCUUGCGCAAUGGGCGAAAGCCUGACGCAGCCAUGCCGCGUGGAUGAUGAAGGUCUUAGGAUUGUAAAAUCCUUUCACCGGUGAAGAUAAUGACUGUAGCCGGAGAAGAAGCCCCGGCUAACUUCGUGCCAGCCGCCGCGGUAAGAC
rnacentral:rRNA from 1 species